rnacentral:rRNA from 1 species
GACGAACGCUGGCGGCGUGCCUAAUACAUGCAAGUCGAGCGCAGGAAACUGACGGAACUCUUCGGAGGGAAGGCAGCGGAAUGAACGGCGGACGGGUGAGUAACACGUAAGGAACCUGCCUCAAGGAUUGGGAUAACUCCGAGAAAUCGGAGCUAAUACCGGAUAGUUCAUCGGACCGCAUGGUCCGUUGAUGAAAGGCGCUUCGGCGUCACCUUCAGAUGGCCUUGCGGUGCAUUAGCUAGUUGGUGGGGUAACGGCCCACCAAGGCGACGAUGCAUAGCCGACCUGAGAGGGUGAUCGGCCACACUGGGACUGAGACACGGCCCAGACUCCUACGGGAGGCAGCAGUAGGGAAUCUUCCACAAUGGACGAAAGUCUGAUGGAGCAACGCCGCGUGAGUGAUGAAGGUUUUCGGAUCGUAAAACUCUGUUGUAAGGGAAGAACACGUACGAGAGGAAAUGCUCGUACCUUGACGGUACCUUGCGAGAAAGCCACGGCUAACUACGUGCCAGCCGCCGCCGUAA